rnacentral:rRNA from 1 species
UACGUAGGUGGCAAGCGUUGUCCGGAUUUACUGGGCGUAAAGAGCGCGCAGGCGGUUGAUUAAGUCGAAUGUGAAAGCCCCCGGCUCAACUGGGGAGGGUCAUUCGAUACUGAUCGACUUGAAGGCAGGAGAGGGAAGUGGAAUUCCGGGUGUAGUGGUGAAAUGCGUAGAUAUCCGGAGGAACACCAGUGGCGAAGGCGACUUCCUGGACCUGUUCUGACGCUGAGGAGCGAAAGCGUGGGGAGCGAUCCGG